GAUGAACGCUGGCGGCGUGCCUAAUACAUGCAAGUCGAGCGAACAGACGAGGAGCUUGCUCCUCUGACGUUAGCGGUGGACGGGUGAGUAACACGUGGAUAACCUACCUAUAAGACUGGGAUAACUUCGGGAAACCGGAGCUAAUACCGGAUAACAUGUUGAACCGCAUGGUUCAACAGUGAAAGACGGUCUUGCUGUCACUUAUAGAUGGAUCCGCGCCGCAUUAGCUAGUUGGUAAGGUAACGGCUUACCAAGGCAACGAUGCGUAGCCGACCUGAGAGGGUGAUCGGCCACACUGGAACUGAGACACGGUCCAGACUCCUACGGGAGGCAGCAGUAGGGAAUCUUCCGCAAUGGGCGAAAGCCUGACGGAGCAACGCCGCGUGAAUGAAGAAGGUCUUCGGAUCGUAAAACUCUGUUAUUAGGGAAGAACAAAUGUGUAAGUAACUAUGCACGUCUUGACGGUACCUAAUCAGAAAGCCACGGCUAACUACGUG
rnacentral:rRNA from 1 species